rnacentral:rRNA from 1 species
UACAGAGGUCUCAAGCGUUUGUUCGGAUUCAUUGGGCGUAAAGGGUGCGUAGGUGGCGGGGUAAGUCAGGUGUGAAAUCUCGGAGCUCAACUCCGAAACUGCACUUGAUACUGCCUUGCUCGAGUACUGGAGAGGAGAUUGGAAUUUACGGUGUAGCAGUGAAAUGCGUAGAUAUCGUAAGGAAGACCAGUGGCGAAGGCGAAUCUCUGGACAGUUACUGACACUGAGGCACGAAGGCCAGGGGAGCAAACGGG